ensembl:snRNA U6 U6 spliceosomal RNA
GUGCUCGCUUCAGUAGCAAGUAUACUAAAAUUGGGACAAUACAGAAAGUAUUAGCGUGGCCCCUGCACAGUGAUGGCGCACGGAUUCAUGAAGCAGUCCAUAUUUUU